UACGAAGGGGGCUAUCGUUGCUCGGAAUCACUGGGCGUAAAGCGCACGUAGGCGGCUUUCUAAGUCAGGGGUGAAAUCCUGGAGCUCAACUCCAGAACUGCCUUUGAUACUGGAGAGCUUGAGUCCGGAAGAGGUGAGUGGAACUCCGAGUGUAGAGGUGAAAUUCGUAGAUAUUCGGAAGAACACCAGUGGCGAAGGCGGCUCACUGGUCCGGUACUGACGCUGAGGUGCGAAAGCGUGGGGAGCAAACAGG
rnacentral:rRNA from 1 species